AAUGAUUGUUCGUAAUCAUAGUUAUAAUUUUCUAUAAUAUAUAAUAUUAUAUUGUAGAAAAUUUUUUAUAAUAUUCACAAUAUUUUUUGUCAUUAAAAAAAUAAAGUAUUUUAAGUUUGUUUCAGGUGGGAUCGAUAUAAGAAGAUUCAUACCUCACAUAAUAUUUAAUUCCUAUUUCUUCUUUGCAUUUAGAUUUUAUGAUAAAACCAUAAAAUUUUAAUGCAAGAAAGAAUUUGUUAGAUAGGAUUUCUAGGAAGAAGCCUCAAUAUAUGAAGAAAAACAUUAUUUAAUUUUUAUCAAUGUACUGCUCUUUUAAUUUUUGUUUGUUUCAGGACCAGUGGACAAAAGUACAUAGGAUAUUUUCGAACGUAUUUAUAUUUGUUGAUGAUGUUCCCUUUCUUCUCGUUUAUUAUGCAGAUAUACAUGUACAUAAAUAUGUUAGUUUAGUUUUUCCUUGAAUAUUCUUAAUUAUUCCUUGAAUAUCGAUUUCCCUAAAUUUCCUUUUGUUGAUGACCAAAGAUCGAUCCUUUUGCAAGCAUACAUUGAAAGGAAUAUAUAUCGAAAUUAAAUUUUUUUAAACCCAAAAAAGGACAAGAUCGUGGUUAAAAGAGUGGAUUUUCUGCGGCCAAUUCUCGCAUUUAAAUCGGCUAUUGAUGAGAUAGCGAUAUUACCAUCGGCCACGAUAAUAAAAAAAUAAAAACUCGUCGAGUAAAGAUGUAUCGUGCGAAGAUUGAAGAAUGAUGAGUCACUAUGUGCUAGCUAGAAAGUACGUAUAAGAAAAAGCGAGCAGAAGGUCGUGUGGUACCUCUGUCAUUGACCUUUUUCUCUACCCUCUCGAUAGGUUCGUCGCUCGUUCUUCCGUGUUAUACGAACGCUAUUUCUAGUUAUAAAAUAUCUAUAACGUCGAACUGCAUUAGUCAGAAGAACAAAAUUGUCGUAAAUGCAAUACGAUGGCAUAUUAUGAUCGUCGAGGAAGAGAUGUUAAUACAUUUCAAUAUUUAUUUUAUUGGUUAUUCUUCGAUUAGAAUGGCGUUUGAAUUUGUCAAAUUGAAAUUAAACGACGAAGAGUAAUGGUUCGCAUUAUCGACAAGAGAAUAUUCUUUAACAAAAUCGUGUGGACAAAAAGGAAAACCGAUCAACGAGGAUUAUUGGCAAGGAAAACACUUAACGGUUUAAGCAGCCCUUCUUAUCAAGUAUCGUUCCGAAUCAUUUCAAGCAUUUCGUAUCGCCCUUUGAGAGGAAAAAAAAUAUUGUAAUUCUCUCAUAGUAAAAUGAAUAUUUGACCUACUACUUGUAAACGAUCUUGUUACUUCGUUACCAAUUUGAAACAUCCCUCACGUUGUUCUUUUUCCAAGCCUCCUUAAACUGUCGCUGUUAAUUUUCGCAAACGAAACGUUGGAGGAACUUAUUAUCGCGGUUUAAUUAAAUGAGCCAAUUUUAUUUCGUACAAUAUAUUCACCGUGAAAACUGUCUCAUUCCUUCUGGCGCGAUUUACAAUGGGCGUAAUUAAAUAAACAAUUAUCACGGGGGGCCAUUCUCCGCAGCGGUUUAUUAAUGUUUCAUGACUUCCGCAAGGAAAUGAGACACUUUCCGUGGGCAAACGCGAUGUAAAGUAAUUUCUUACUUCUGUUUUAUCGCCGCUUGGCCGAGAAAAUUCGCGUCACUUGUCUCGGUUCCCUUGAAUCGAUACGGUUCAAAAAAAAAAAAAAAAUGAAUAAGAAAAGAGACUCGCGUGUAAACUCCGAUUUGGCGUAAUUCGCAUGGGUUUUAUAAUAUAUUCGGCACGGUAACGUCACGCGAGAUCGUUCAAUGUUCGCUAAUCUUCAUAAUUUACGCGAAAAGUUGUUUGUUGCGCGGGAAGACAAUCCAAGGAACACGAUAUCAUCAUCGAAACGCAGCCUUUCCCCGUUUAUCUGGUAACGAGUAACUUUAUACUCGAACAAUUUUCAACUCGUUCCCUCGUUACUAAUGAUGCGAAUGUUUUUGCAGAACGAGAACGAAGGAAGAGACAAACAAGGGUAGGGGACAAAGAGAGAAACUCUUGCAUCGUAACAGCACAUUUCCCGGGUAUACGCGGGGUUGUUACUUAUUCUCGUAAUAUGCAGUUACCGCUGCGUGCUUUUCAACUCGAGUGAAACUUUGAUACCGCUUUCCUUGAAAAAAAAAAAAAAAAAA